AGCGAACGCUGGCGGCAGGCCUAACACAUGCGAGUCGAACGAACCUUUCGGGGUUAGUGGCGGACGGGUGAGUAACACGUGGGAACGUGCCUUUAGGUUCGGAAUAACUCAGGGAAACUUGUGCUAAUACCGAAUGUGCCCUUCGGGGGAAAGAUUAAUCGCCUUUAGAGCGGCCCGCGUCUGAUUAGCUAGUUGGUUGAGGUAAUGGCUCACCAAGGCGACGAUCAGUAGCUGGUCUGAGAGGAUGAUCAGCCACAUUGGGACUGAGACACGGCCCAAACCCCCAGGGGGGGGAGGAGGGGGGAAUCUUGCGAAAGGGGCGAAAGCCUGACGCAGCCAUGCCGGGGGAAUGAUGAAGGGUUUAGGAUUGUAAAAUUCUUUCACCGGGGUCGAUAAUGACGGUACCCGGAGAAGAAGCCCCGGCUAACUUCGU
rnacentral:rRNA from 1 species